UGUGAAUCGAGACCGCCAUCCCAUGGUUGCUCUCAGAUUUGUUCUCAGAGAGAUAAAUGGCUGUUACCCCCCGCCCACCUUUCUUUACAGGGUGGUUGUACUGAAACAAAAGACCACGUCCUUCAUAUAUUCAGUGCUGUGUUUUGACAUGCUGUGUAUUGAGUUAAACCUCUUCCCAGCUGCCAAAAACCUUCAACUUCACUUACCUAUGGCACGUAACUUUCAGUGCUCUGAAAAGUUAUCGAAGGGCAGGAGGGCACAGGAAAAGAAUAAAACAAAGAGAUUUUACAGCCAGACUACAGUGAACCUGCAGUAUAGUUAUACUGGUACCAUAAAGGAAUCAUUUUGGAUGCUGCUACUUUUGUUUGCCAAGCUUCUUAUUGGUACCACAAGUCAACGCUUGCUGGAAAACGCCACCCUUGGAAAACAACCUGUAACGUACGACUGCUGUCUCUUCGUGUAUUUUCUGCUCAGAUCUUAACAUGCGCUUCCUCUGAAGGCCACCAGCGAUAAUAUUCACUCCCUCUCCAGAACCACGUGAGUAAAUACCUCCUCACGCAGGUGAGGAUUGGGCUGGGCACAAACAAGAGGAGGAUGCCAAGUAAACACAGGACUGCUGGGCAGCUUUGGUGGAUCCCAGUGCUAUUGUCUGGGUAAUUCAGGGGAAGGUUUCACUAAAAUGGUGUCCUUGUCACGCGAAGCACGGAAAACAGCUUCCCCGCUCCGGCUAGCAGUGGUCCGUGAGUAACUUGCCUGCAUGACGGCCGCCGGCCAGCAGGGGGCGCCUGCUUCGUGCAGCCCCUGGGCUGUUUAAUGCCUGGGGCCUCCGUGCACGAACGAGGUCGUUGCUGCCCGCGAGAGGCUGUGUAGCGAGGCCCCGCCCAGGUGCUAGGGCAGCCUUGCAGGGUGAAUGCCUUCCUUAGCGGUGAAGGCAGCUGGAAGUUUGCUGAUGGACAGUGUGAGCUGACCACUCCUCUUGCGAGGUCACACCCCCUGCAGGAUGCUUAGACCAAGUCAGGACUCAGCAGGGGCUUUCAGUCAUCCCACUGGCUGUAGGUGUUAAGGUUUUGCAUUUGCUUUCAAAGCAACCAGAAGUAAUGGUGUUUUUUGUUUGUUUGUUUGUUUGUUUGUUUGUUUCGUUGCACAUCUCCCCACUUGCUUGGGAGGAUCUGCCCGGAAAAUGGGGAGCUGCAGCCCCCGGGGAAUAGCCAUGCUGUUGAUGGGAGGCUGGGGACAAUGGUGAGACUGUUCCACUGUAGGAAAGGCAGCUGAAGGCUCAGACAAGAGGAGCACGCGGGAACAGGCUUUGUGGCUCAGGCUCUGCAUGAAAGCGCUUAGCACAGGACAGGGAGCACAGUUUCAGUCCCAGGUGUCUACCUGUCUUUGGUUAUUCAAUGCAUAGUGGUUAUUAAAAUGAAGAAAUCAGAAUUCCUGAUCCAGCUUGUUCUUAUUUUUCCCUCUCUCUCUCUCUCUCUCUCUCUCUUUUUUUUUAAUGAAACAGAAGUCUGAUUGUGGUGCCAUCCAUGUAACAGAAUGCUGUUGGUGUGUGCUGGUGUUCUCUGUUCAUGCACGUAAACCUGGGACUCCCAGGGAACUUAAGAAGCAUGAGCCUUGUUUGUGAAUCUCCAGAUGGGGGCAGACAUUGAGAUGCACGGCUAGAAUAUUAGGCUGGGAUUGAUUACCCCAGUUCAGCUGUCAGGGAGCAGAAAGAAUUAAACCAAAGUCUCCUGGAUCCCAGGAAAAUGGCAUUACCGAUACCUCAACAUUUGGAGCAUCACUCAACAGUGAGCCCUGUGGCUGACAGUGGAGAGCCCAGUUCUGCCAGAGUGCUGGAGAACAUCUACUGGGAAAUUCAGACCACCUGGGGAGGUAGCUCAGCAAGCAAGGAGCUCAAAUCACAGUCCCUGAGGGAGUUCAUGAGGCAGUGGAGGAGGUGAAAAUAACCUCUAUAUUUGAAUACUACGAAAGUCAAGACAUCACAAAGGAGAUCUCUUAGACUGGAACCCGAUCGCAAAUGGUCCAGCCAGAGGCGUUAGACCAGAAAGAUGGAUGCUGGACUAUAGAAAACCUCAGAGCUGGAGUAUGUAAUUAUGUUUGUCUUAUGACAGAGUUUUGCCCCAGCUACAGCCAAAAGAAGAAAAAAAAAAUCUUCCAAAUAUUUGGAUUUAUAAAGGAAUUCUCUACAGCUUGACUUGCAUGUUUUACAUGGUCACAUUCAAAUUUGCCUGCAUAAAUAUUCACAGAUGCUGGAGUCUAAAAGUUUACCCAUGUGGAUAUUUGCUUUGAAAGAGCUAGUACUUUCAUCCAGUCCAUGAAGCUGUGAUUCCAGACUUAUGUGACCAAUUACAAGUAGAUGGUUACACAGACAUUAACAAAGCAGAUCUGAACAGAAAAAAAUUCCUAAGAAUUCAAGUUAUUUUCAGACGCGGUGUUGAAAACAAACAAGUUAAAUGUGUUUUAAAGUUUUAUUUUUGCUUUUAAUUAUUCCCAAACCACUAAUCACAGCAAUACUCUAAAUGCCUUUAAAGAGAGCUCUUUGCAUGGCUUCUUGUUUUAUGUUGACUUUCUGAACCUAAAAGGCUGACAGAAACAUAAGUGAGCACGAAGGGUAAACCCAUUAAUUGAUUACAUUCAUCACUUUUAAGUAUUUGUAAAACUGUUUAAAAAGUAUUUCCUUAUCAGUUCCUAGGUGUUUUCACUAUAUAAUACCUAGACUUUCAAGUGAAACAAUAAUUAAGCAUUACAGUCAACAUGCAUUUCCUUAUAUGAAUAACUUGGGCUCUGAAUACUCUUGAGCAAAGACUUCUGAAAUGUGUCUGAAUUCUUUGACAGUCAGCGCUUAUCUGAUGCUCAAUAACUAUUUAUGACAGCAGAAAUCUUCUAAGAUGCCAUUGAAAUGCAUUUUUGUGUGACAUGGGUAAUCUUUCAUCUUUCUGUGGACUAUAGAAUUCCCACAUAAUGCCAUAGUAAAAACAUCUGCAUCUCAGUACAGAGAAGAUGAUCACUGUUUUUACAGCCUAUGCAUUUAGAAUCACUACCUCUUUCUUGUCACGAUUAAAUUCCUUCGUAUGCCCACAAAUAAAAAGUAAUGCAUAUUUGGUUCAAAGUUAUGUUUUUCUCAAUUCACUCUCUCUGAAAACAGAAAACAGGAGUUUUAAAAUACAUUCGAGUUUCAGGCUGCUGUGGCUCUGAUGGUUUGUAUCUGCCUCCACUAAUGAAAAAUAGUAAUCCUCUUUCACAUGCCCCACUUUUAAAACCAUCCUUUAUUUUAAGCUGUUCAAGAUGCUCAUGGUUCUGUUGUAUCAAAUGAAAUUCUACAACCGUAAGUAAAAUUUUGUGGAAUGAAUUUGAAGCUGAAGAAAGCAAGAUUUACAAAACAGGAGAUUUACAACUGAGAAAGCACAUCAUUCUGAAGAACAGCACCUUUACUUUCAUUUCCCUCCAAAAAGACAAUGUUCAAUACAGUAACACAACAUAACAG
rnacentral:lncRNA from 1 species